rnacentral:scRNA from 1 species
GGGGUUGGGGAUUUAGCUCAGUGGUAGAGCGCUUGCCUAGCAAGCGCAAGGCCCUGGGUUCGGUCCCCAGCUCCGAAAAAAAAAAAAAAAAAAAAAAAAAAAAAGAAAUGCGGGUGGCAAUGCCUUGAGCUGGAGAAUUUGAAAGAAGGCCACGGUAAUUAUAGUUU